rnacentral:lncRNA from 1 species
CAGAAUUCUAAACCUAUCUCUUCUUUCUUACACUCUCCUUUUAUUAUUCAAUUAGUCUCUUCCUUCUCUUGUUAGGACAAAUCUAAAAAUAGUAAGAACAUAUCCGAUUUUAGGAUAAGAGCCUAGGAAGAGAUUUAAGGAAGACAAGGAGAGAAGAAAGAUUGGGAUAGGAAGGCUAGGAGGAGAGAAAGAAGGUCUUG